UACGGAAGGUGCAAGCGUUGCUCGGAAUCACUGGGCGUAAAGGGUGCGUAGGCGGCCGUGCAAGUCUGGCGUGAAAGCCCCGGGCUCAGCCCGGGAAGUGCGCUCGAAACUGCGCGGCUCGAGUGCCGGAGGGGAGAGUGGAAUUCCUGGUGUAGCGGUGAAAUGCGUAGAGAUCCGGAGGAACACCAGCGGCGAAGGCGGCAUCCUGGACUGGUCCUGACACUCAGGAGCGAAAGCGUGGGGAGCGAUCCGG
rnacentral:rRNA from 1 species